rnacentral:rRNA from 1 species
GUAGGUGGCAAGCGUUGUCCGGAAUUAUUGGGCGUAAAGCGCGCGCAGGCGGUUCUUUAAGUCUGAUGUGAAAGCCCACGGCUCAACCGUGGAGGGUCAUUGGAAACUGGAGAACUUGAGUACAGAAAAGGAAAGCGGAAUUCCACGUGUAGCGGUGAAAUGCGUAGAGAUGUGGAGGAACACCAGUGGCGAAGGCGGCUUCCUGGUCUGUAACUGACGCUGAGGCGCGAAAGCGUGGGGAGCAAACAGGGAUUAGAUACCCUGGUAGUCCACGCCGUAAACGAUGAGUGCUAAGUGUUAGGGGGGUUUCCGCCCCCUUAGUGCUGCAGCUAACGCAUUAAGCACUCCGCCUGGGGAGUACGGCCGCAAGGCUG